rnacentral:misc_RNA from 1 species
GAAAAACGUAGAGAAACUCGCCGGAAAAUCAAUACCCGGCUGCCGGAACUUUACUGGUUUAGAAUACAAAACUUUUCCGGCACCAGAAUUUGGAACAGCAAGGUCACGAGUUAACUUUAUAGUAUUAUUCCCCAAAUGGGCAUCGCCUAAAAGCUUCAAACUACUAAGAGUUAAAGUACCAGAAUCAAACUCAGUGGCAGC